GUAUUCGUAAGGAAAGUCUACAUAAAGUUGGUAACGAUAAUGUAGUCAGAGUAGUAAAUUUUGUAACUUUAAAUAAUCUAAGUGGCUGUGACUAGUGCGCCCGGCCUUAUUCAUAAAUAUACUUAGACAUCUGCUGAUUGUGUUACACGUAAUCAGAUCAUGUUCUGACAAAAGACAACGCACUAGUACGUAUAUUAGAUGUCAGAUCUUUCAGAGGAGCUGGCUGUGAUACCGACCAUCACCUGUUAGUGGCAAAAUAUUGUCAGAGACUCUCACAUCUUCCCACAAGCAGUGAUCAUGCAGAGGAUCAGCCAUCACAGUCGAAUGAGGGUUAUAACUCAUCAGAUGACUGUGUGAUUGUGGGCUAUGUGAAGCCUCGUCAUGAGAGGACACCCGAAGUCAUCACGUUGCUAUCGUCUGACCCAGAGGUCACAAAGCCAGGAAAACUACAGCGUCUUCUGCAAAAAAUAUAUUUUCUUAGGAACCAAGAUCAUUCCAAAAUUGACUCCGAUUCAUUGGUGCGCUCACGUGAUGUCAAAAAUUCCAAACGGCAACAGACAGCAUUGCUAUCAUCAACUUGUAACACUUCCAGCAUUAGCAGCAAACACACUUACAUCUCCCGGUCCUUGCGCGGCGGCCGCAAACGGUACAGAAGAAGACAUUGACCUCAUAGGAACAGGAAUCAUGGAAAAUACAGGUACAAAGCAGGAGAGCGACUACUCAGUCAAGAGCUACGAUACACCUCCUACCUCUUCUGAGGUCGACAGCAUCCUCAGCAUUAACAGCUGCGUAGCGUUGUGAUCUCGCGGGCUGCAAAUGGUGAUGGCAGUAGCCAUGACAGACUGCAGAAACGUUUGACCAAGUCGGCGUCUGUUUGAAGAUGGUAAAAGACGAUUCCGAUUCCGAGGAACGUGUGCUGAAACCAAAAAAAUGAAAGAGGAUCAUGUCUUUAUUUGUCGACUCUUCAGACGACUAAGGUUGAUGCACUGUUUUAUAUGUAGCUAUAGUUUAAUAAAUUUAUCACUCCCAAAAGUCAACUGAGGACUGAAAUAAGUUCCUCAAGUGAGCGAAUAUUUAGUUUAAAGGUUCACAGUUAUUGUGUUUUGAAACUUCCUCGUGUGGCUGUACAAUGUCGAACUAUACAUAAGACACGAAAUUGUCGCAUGUUGACAAGGGAAUUUUAUUAUGCAUUUUUCAGGCAUCCAUUCGUCACGUCACGUGCCAUCGUGACUGAUGACUGGAUUCGUACACCACUGGCUGUAAUUCAGUGCUCGUACUUAAAGUAUAAAUAAUAAAUAAUUGACUUCCUGAUAAUAAUAAUAAUAUUAAUACUUUCUGUAGAUCAAAAUACAUUGAUAUAGGAUAUGUCAAUCUAUAUUAUACAUUAUCAAAAUACAAUAAUGAUUAUGAUAUAAUCCCAUUGGAGAUAUAGCAUUAUACACAUUAGAUUAUUAGUAGCCAAUAUUCGAAAAUUCUUCAUUAAGAGUCUUCUAGUGAAUAGUAACGCCCCUUAAUAAGAAAGUCCUUCAAUUCCUUCUUAAACUGAGACACUUUUAUUUUGCAUAUAAAAUGGUCAUUCUUGUUUUGUGACAGUGUUUUCUGCCGAGGGAUUUAAAUUGUAACUUUACAUUUUUAACUUUUACCCGGAAAGGCACAAAUUUUUUGAUAAAUGACUAUUUUAAAUUAAA